GGGCCGGUAGCUCAGCCUGGAAGAGCGCCGCCUUGGCAUGGCGGAGGCCUGGGGUUCAAAUCCCCACCGGUCCA
rfam:Ferroglobus placidus DSM 10642, complete genome.